rnacentral:rRNA from 1 species
GCAGGACGCGGCACGGCGGGCCUAUAGAUGCAAGUGGCUAGGGGAAGAAAGGAAGCUUGCUAUCCAUGGUGUCGAGUGGCGCACGGGUGCGUAUCGCGUGAGCAACCUGCCUCCAUCAGGGGGAUAGCCUCUCGAAACCCAGAUUAACACCGCAUAACAUAUUGUUCCGGCAUCGGGGGAUUAUUAAAUAUUUAUAGGAUGGAGAUGGGCUCGCGUGACAUUAGCUAGUUGGUGGGGUAACGGCUUACCAAGGCGACAAUGUCUAGGGGCUCUGAAAGGAGAAUCCCCCACACUGGUACUGAGACACGGACCAAACUCCUACGGGAGGCAGCAGUAAGGAAUAUUGGUCAAUGGGCGGAAUCUUGAACCACCCAUGCCGCGUGCAGGAUGACUGCCCUAUGGGUUGUAAACUGCUUUUGUCCGGGAAUAAACCUCCUUACGUGUAUGGAGCUGAAUGUACCGGAAGAAUAAGGAUCGGCUAACUCCGUGCCACCACGCGAGGUAAUACGGAGGAUCCGAGCGUUAUCCGGAUUUAUUGGGUUUAAAGGGUGCGUAGGCGGCCUGUUAAGUCAGGGGUGAAAUACGGUGGCUCACCCAUCGCAGUGCCUUUGAUACUGACGGGCUUGAAUCCAUAUGAAGUGGGCGGAAUAAGACACGUAGCGGUGAAAUGCAUAGAUAUGUCUUAAACUCCGAUUGCGAAGGCCGCUCACUAAGCUGGUUAUGACGCUGAUGCACAAAGCGUGGGGGAUCGAACAGGAAUAAAUACCCUGGUAGUCCCCCCCCUAAACGAUGAAACUCGAUGUU